rnacentral:rRNA from 1 species
CCAAAGCCCCCCGCUUACACCGUGGUAAUAUCUGUUUAACUCAGAUCAUUUUGAGCCUAAAAUCUAGCCCAUUAAACUCCAAUGAAAAUAUUUUACUACCGCCCUAUAACAAAACAUUCUUAUAUUUUAGUACAGGAGAUCAAAAAAUUCAUAAGCGCUUCAGAUAAAGUACCGCAAGGGAAAGAUGAAAUAAUAAUGAAAUAAUUUUAAAGCCAAAUAAAGCAGAGACAUCCCCUCGUACCUUUUGCAUCAUGGUCUAGCUAGUCUUACUAAGCAAAAAGAAAAUUUUAGUUUAACAUCCCGAAACUAGACGAGCUACUUCAAAACAGCUUAUAGAGCUAACCCGUCUCUGUUGCAAAAGAGUGGGAAGAUUUUCAAGUAGAGGCGACAAACCUAACGAGCCUAGAGAUAGCUGGUUGUUCAGGAAAAGAGUUUUAGCUCUACCUUAAGUUUCUCUGUUACUUAAAUAACCAAUUUAAACUUAAGAGCUAUUCAAAUAANGCACAGCUUAUUUGAAACAGGGCACAANCUAAAUCACUGGGUAAACNAAGGGUAAACUAAACAAAGUGGGCCUANAAGCAGCCACCUUUAAAAAAGCGUUAANGCUUANCUAUUAAAUACCCAUAAUUCUCUUAACUAACUUGAACCCCUCAUCAGUACUGAACCAUUUUAUAUUUAUAUAAAAAUAAUUAUGCUAGAACUAGUAACAAGAAAUUGCCUCUCUCCUGAAUGUAAACGUAAGCCAAAACGGACCACCCAUUGGCACCUACCGUAAAUGUACCAUCUAUAGCAACUCUCUCCCAGAAAAUCCUAUAGUUUUAAACGUUAACCUUACACUAGAACAUUUAAGGAAAGAUUAAAAGAGAAAGAAGGAACUCGGCAAAUAUUAGCCCCGCCUGUUUACCAAAAACAUCGCCUCUUGACAAAUAUAAGAGGUCCAGCCUGCCCAGUGAUAAAAUUCAACGGCCGCGGUACCCUAACCGUGCGAAGGUAGCAUAAUCACUUGUUCUCUAAAUAGGGACUAGUAUCAAAGGCACCACGAGGGCCAUACUGUCUCCUUUCUCCAAUCAGUGAAACUGAUCUCCCCGUGAAGAAGCGGAGAUUUAACUAUAAGACGAGAAGACCCCAUGGAGCUUUAAGCAAUGUGUUCACCCUGUGCUUAUACCAACUUAACAAAAACCCUGAACAAUAGCUUUGGGUUGGGGGGACCACGGAGUAUAAUAUAACCUCCAUGACAAACGAGCAACGCCCUUAUCCAUGAGUUACAUCUCUAAGAAUCAAUAAACUGAUGUUUAUGACCCGAUAAUUCGAUCAACGAACCAAGUUACCCUGGGGAUAACAGCGCAAUCUACUUCAAGAGCCCCUAUCGACAAGUAGGUUUACGACCUCGAUGUUGGAUUAGGGUAUCCCAGUGGUGCAGCCGCUAC